ensembl:lncRNA
UCAGACAAGGAGACUGCAGCCCUGAGAGGUCACGUGACCCAUUGGAAGUGGCACUGCCCAGGGUCUGCUCCCUACUGCUGUUGGGACCUGUGCUGACUCAGCUGAGCCCAAGCCUCUGGCUGUAUAUUCUUUACAGGUGAGCCACCCGGGAAGCCCUGUGGUGAGGAUUAAAAGAGAGAACCAGCUGUGGCACUCAGCACUGGGCUUAGUGUGUCUCCACGAAGACUGCAAUAACAGCAGCUAGUUCAUAAUUCAUAUUCACCCGACACUUUGCGAGUUGAGGAAGCUGAAGCCUGGAGAGGUGCUUCAAGAGACAAGUUGCUUUGCUGCUCGAGGGACCAUCCCGGGAACAACACCUGGACCCUGCUCUCCGAAGGAGGAAAGGUCAUGCAGUGAUGUCAUAACCUCAGCAGGAAACUUCCGCCACAGGACCUAAAGGGUUCAGAGAAGCCUCGCGCUGUUUUUUCCAGCCUCACCAUCAAAGGGGGAGAGGUGAGCGCAGGGUGACAGAGACUUUAGCCCUGUGCACACGCCGUGCUCCCACAGCGCUGAUGCUCGGAGCAGUAACAUCAGGAUCUCCGUGAUUCCUGGGCCAGUUGGGGGAUCAGAAGGAAAUCAGGCUUUUGGCCUUUCCACCCCUGGAGAAAAACCACAGUUUUGCUACUGCUCACCUUCUCUAGAUUGGACCUGGAGGUGGGGAGGGGAGAGAGGAGAGCGAUGUUGCCCUGCCCUCUGCUGGGGGAAGCACAGCAAAACCGCACUAAAUUCAGGGGCCGACGAGCUUGGGUUUCAGGUUAUCUGAGCGGAAACCCUCCUUCGUCCACUUUCUGAGACUGCAUCCUGGAUGGCAGAGCAGAGGCCACCGUGGACUCUUAGCGCUGAACUUGGGGAAACCAGGGCCCAGGACUCUGGACUCAGAAUGGCCCUCCCCAGGAUGCAUGCUGUAAAACGUUUUCUUUUCUGAUGAAUCCUCGCUAAGAAAACAUACUUGACACGUUCCCCUUUCACCUAAGACUCAGACGUGGGCGUUUGCCUCGUCUGAGUUCAGUGAAGUGUCUUCUGUUUACUGAAUUUCUCCUCUUCCUGUGGUUUGGCUGGGCAGUGCCAUUUUGCAUUAACUUGUUGUCUGGGAUUUGUACCCUCCCACCUGCCCACUGGGUGUCAAGAGUCAACAGAAGCCCUCUGUGUCCUGAGACGGGCGCAGGCCCCUUUGGUCACCAGAAUGUCCCACAGCAGCCUUCAGAGGACUGGGAUGAAAGGGCUUCAGGCAGGACUGACCCAUGGGCAGAGCUGCCAAUCAGACCUAUGGCUGCUUUCUCUUUUGUUGUUUUGAUGAUAAUUUUUGUUAAUUUUCAGUUACGCAGAUGAUACAGUCAUACAUUCAUCCUUAAAAACCACAACACAGAACAUUAGCAACAAAAGACCCACACCCCAAAUCAUUUUGCUU